rnacentral:lncRNA from 1 species
AGAACUAGAGAGACUAAAUUUCCAGGAUCAGAACAUCAGAAGAAGCGAGCUAUUCUCUUCCAUAUUGGCAUUAAAGCGUGCACGAAGUUGAAGAACGCAAUCGACUAACCGACUAACGCAAUCGAGAUAUUCUAGACUAAUCUAGAAAUCUCAUAUUCAGAAAAUGAGAGCAAAGUGGCGAAAAAAGAGGAUGCGCAGGCUAAAACGUAAAAGGAGGAAAAUGCGUGCGAGGUCUAAAUAAAUUUGAUAUCUAUAACCUCUCUGUAAGAGUAACAUCAACCAGAUCAACUUGAGAAAAUUGUAUCGAUUUCAACUUUCACAAUUAACUUUUCUUAUACGGAGAGUUCAUUUUAUUACCAUGCACGUGACUUGUACAAUUUAAUAAAUUGAUCGUUUAAAUUA